rnacentral:rRNA from 1 species
UACGUAGGGGGCAAGCGUUGUCCGGAAUCAUUGGGCGUAAAGCGCGUGUAGGCGGCCCGGUAAGUCCGCUGUGAAAGUCGGGGGCUCAACCCUCGAAUGCCGGUGGAUACUGUCGGGCUAGAGUGCGGGAGAGGCGAGUGGAAUUCCUGGUGUAGCGGUGAAAUGCGCAGAUAUCAGGAAGAACACCCGUGGCGAAGGCGGCUCUCUGGAACGCAACUGACGCUGAGACGCGAAAGCGUGGGGAGCAAACAGG